rnacentral:rRNA from 1 species
UAGGGAAUCUUCCACAAUGGACGCAAGUCUGAUGGAGCAACGCCGCGUGAGUGAAGAAGGUCUUCGGAUCGUAAAGCUCUGUUGUUGGUGAAGAAGGAUAGAGGCAGUAACUGGUCUUUAUUUGACGGUAAUCAACCAGAAAGUCACGGCUAACUACGUGCCAGCAGCCGCGGUAAUACGUAGGUGGCAAGCGUUGCCCGGAUUUAUUGGGCGUAAAGCGAGCGCAGGCGGAAUGAUAAGUCUGAUGUGAAAGCCCACGGCUCAACCGUGGAACUGCAUCGGAAACUGUCAUUCUUGAGUGCAGAAGAGGAGAGUGGAACUCCAUGUGUAGCGGUGGAAUGCGUAGAUAUAUGGAAGAACACCAGUGGCGAAGGCGGCUCUCUGGUCUGCAACUGACGCUGAGGCUCGAAAGCAUGGGUAGCGAACAGGAUUAGAUACCCUGGUAGUCCAUGCCGUAAACGAUGAGCGCUAGGUGUUGGGGACUUUCCGGUUCUCAGUGCCGCAGCAAACGCAUUAAGCGCUCCGCCUGGGGAGUACGACCGCAAGGUUGAAAC